rnacentral:rRNA from 1 species
UACGUAGGGUGCGAGCGUUGUCCGGAAUUACUGGGCGUAAAGAGCUUGUAGGUGGUUUGUCGCGUUGUUCGUGAAAUCUCACGGCUUAACUGUGAGCGUGCGGGCGAUACGGGCAGACUAGAGUACUGCAGGGGAGACUGGAAUUCCUGGUGUAGCGGUGGAAUGCGCAGAUAUCAGGAGGAACACCGGUGGCGAAGGCGGGUCUCUGGGCCUGUACUGACGCUGAGGAACGAAAGCGUGGGGAGCGAACAGG